rnacentral:lncRNA from 1 species
CUUCACUUCCUUACUUCUUGAACACAUUCUUUUGUAGGAAUAUCUUCUUUUUUUCAACAAAACUUCCCUUUCUCUUUAUGCCUCAUAUCUUCAGUUUCUUUUCGGUUUCUUUGUUUUUUCCUCCUAUUGUCUUCUCUUUGCGUGCCAUGACUAAUUAUAAAAGAAGACAAUGAAUAAUUAGACAAAUACCAAUACAAAUACGGAGAAAAUAAAAAGAGUACUUACUGAAACAGAACAACACUUGAAAAAAUGAAUGGAAAUAGAAUCAUUUGUGUGAACCACAAGAUAUAUAGAUUCAAAUGGAAAGUGAAUCACUAUCGUCGUCCUUGGUAGAUUUGCAAACAAACAUAGAGACAAAUAACUCCAUCAUUAAUUUUUUGGAUAUGUAAACGUCGUAUCCAACAAAACAUCGAUCAUAUAAAAAGUGUUGUUACUAUAUCAUCCUCAACAAUGCUUCUUUAAUAGAACAUUGUGGAAUAGAUGUAAAUUAACAGCGCCACUUUAAAGGUGCGCUGUUAAACAUAACUUAUUCAAGCCAACGCUAAUAUCACUGAUGAUCAACAUUACUUUUUCAGGCAUGCGCCAUUGAAGUCAUAUUUGCUUAUCCAAAUGGACAAC